UAAACGGCGAAACUGCGGAUGGCUCAUUAAAUCAGUUAUCGUAUAUUUGAUAGUACCUACUACAUGGAUAACCGUGGUAAUUCUAGAGCUAAUACAUGCUUAAAAUCCCGACUUCGGAAGGGAUGUAUUUAUUAGAUUAAAAACCAAUGCCCUCCGGGGCUCACUGGUGAUUCAUAAUAACUUCUCGAAUCGCAUGGCCUUGCGCCGGCGAUGGUUCAUUCAAAUUUCUGCCCUAUCAACUUUCGACGGCUGGGUCUUGGCCAGCCGUGGUUACAACGGGUAACGGAGGGUUAGGGCUUGACCCCGGAGAAGGAGCCUGAGAAACGGCUACUACAUCCAAGGAAGGCAGCAGGCGCGCAAAUUACCCAAUCCCGACUCGGGGAGGUAGUGACAAUAAAUACUGAUACAGGGCUCUUUUGGGUCUUGUAAUUGGAAUGAGUACAAUUUAAAUCCCUUAACGAGGAACAAUUGGAGGGCAAGUCUGGUGCCAGCAGCCGCGGUAAUUCCAGCUCCAAUAGCGUAUAUUAAAGUUGUUGCAGUUAAAAAGCUCGUAGUUGAACCUUGGGCCUGGCUGGCCGGUCUGCCUCACCGCAUGCACUGGUCCGGCCGGGCCUUUCCCUCUGGGGAACCGCAUGCCCUUCACUGGGUGUGCCGGGGAACCAGGACUUUUACUGUGAAAAAAUUAGAGUGUUCAAAGCAGGCAUAUGCUCGAAUACAUUAGCAUGGAAUAAUAGAAUAGGACGUCGCGGUUCUAUUUUGUUGGUUUCUAGGACCGCCGUAAUGAUUAAUAGGGACAGUCGGGGGCAUCAGUAUUCAAUCGUCAGAGGUGAAAUUCUUGGAUCGAUUGAAGACUAACUACUGCGAAAGCAUUUGCCAAGGAUGUUUUCAUUAAUCACGAACGAAAGUUAGGGGAUCGAAAACGAUCAGAUACCGUUGUAGUCUUAACCAUAAACUAUGCCGACUAGGGAUCGGGCGGUGUUAUUUCUUGACCCGCUCGGCACCUUACACGAAAGUAAAGUUUUUGGGU
rnacentral:rRNA from 1 species